CUAACUACCCUAUACGCUAUUCUUUUUUACGAAAAGGAUAGGAAAGGCCGGGUCGAGGACCUGGUACUCAAGGGAGGGGCUCAUGUCCUAUCAGCUUGUUGGUGGGGUAACGGCCUACAAGGCUACGACGGGUAGCUGGUCUGAGAGGAUGAUCAGCCACACUGGCACUGAGAGUACGGGCCAGACUCCUACGGGAGGCAGCAGUGAGGAAUUAUUGCGCAAGUGGGACGAAAGCCUGACGCAGCGACGCCGCGUGGGGGAUGAAGGUUUUCGGAUUGUAAACCCCUUUCAUGAGGAAAGAUAAAGUGGGUAACCACUUAGACGGUACCUCAAGAAGAAGCCACGGCUAACUUCGUG
rnacentral:rRNA from 1 species